AUAUGUAAUGAAUCCUAAAAGUACGUGUGCUCCAAAAUGAUGAGAUCCUACCUAAGCUUUUGUGUAACACGUGUGUUUCACAGUCCCUACAGAAGGCACUGCCCUGGCUUGGAAGUCUGAGGCUGGGAAAAUAUGCAGUCAUUUGAUACCAUCACCUUUUCUGAGUUUGCCAAGACAUUUCUUGUUAAAGGACACAAGUUGAAGGAGCAGUCAGGUGACAGAGAUGAAAGACUAGGCUUGAGAGGCCUAAUAGCAUGCACUGAGGAAAGAGGUGAAGUAACAAUUCUCCAUAACGUAGGAGGGAGCUGACUCUGUACCUUUUCUUUUUCUCUUUCUGCUUUUCAGAUAAAGAGUAGGAAUCUUCUUAAUUCUAAGUCUCUUUGUUAAAGUAGACACAUUUUGUGAUUUUAUUAUUCAUACAGAAAGUAUGAAGUUUCCCAGGCAGAGGGAAUAGCAAGUGGAAAAGCAUAUUGGUGUGUGAUGGCCAAGCAUUUGAGAGAACUAUGUAAAAUUCAAUUUCCAAAAUACACAGUUCAAAAAAAGAGUGGGUGCUGAUGAAGCUGGAGAGGUGA
rnacentral:lncRNA from 1 species